rnacentral:rRNA from 1 species
GAAUCAGCACGUCGGUCGUGCCUUCGGUAUGUACUGGCGUUGCUGGUUUCUCCCUUCUGAUGAGCCGUGAUGCCAUUAAUUUGGUGUUAUGAGGAGUCAGGACUGUUACUUUGAAAAAAUUAGAGUGUUUAAAGCAGGCAAUCGCUUGAAUACAUUAGCAUGGAAUAAUGGAAUAGGGCUGCUGCCCCAUUUUGUUGGUUUCUGGGACCGUAGCA